CCCGCAGCCUGAAGUGAUGAGGUGAUGAGUGCAUUGAAGAGUACGAGUUUUAUAUUGUUUGAUAUUAGAACACCUGUUGGUUAUACACAUCUAUCGAUAGUAGUGUCUAUUUCUACGUGCCUGAAGCUGGGUAUUGGACUGGGGUUCUGAUCAAGACUAUAUAAUGGUGUGGUCUUAUUCAGACAGGUUGAUUUAUCACUUAGCAGACUUGGGUUCAAAUGCUUUUCAAAAUACUUGAAACACUUUCAGCGUUUGCUUUUGCCUGCCCGGGGUGCCAGAUGAACAGGGUUGGGUCGUUUGUGACAGUUUCAUAUUCUAUUGGAUCCAUUGCGCCAGGCAAGCUCAAUCAAGCCCAGAAAGAGGAUAUGAAAGGAUUUGAACCCAGAGCUGCUACGUGAUAAAUCAGCCUAUCUGAAUAAGAUCUCACUGUUGUAUGGACUUGAGCAGAAACCCAGUAUCCAGCUUCAGGCACGUAGAAAUAGACAGUACUAGAAAGUAAUAGAUUUUUAUUUUUUAUUUAUUUUUACUAGGCAAGUCAGUUAAGAACAAAUUCUUAUUUUCAAUGACGGCCUAGGAACAAACAGUGUUGAUCCUGGUUAUGAUGUCCUGCUGAGGACAGAACUAGUUGUGGCACAGUGUUGAUCCUGGUUGUGAUGUCCUGCUGAGGACAGAACUAGUUGUGGCACAGUGUUGAUCCUGGCUGUGAUGUCCUGCUGAGGACAGAACUAGUUGUAGGGACGUGGAUGGAGGAAUGGGGGUGGAUGGAGGAGUGGGGGUGGAUGGAGGAGUGGAGGUGGAUGGAGGAGUGGGGGUGGAUGGAGGAGUGGAGGUGGAUGGAGGAGUGGGGGUGGAUGGAGGAGUGGAGGUGGAUGGAGGAGUGGGGGUGGAUGGAGGAGUG
ensembl:lncRNA